rnacentral:misc_RNA from 1 species
AACGGCGGUGUGGCCCCGCCAUCGGCCUGUCAUGCCGACAAGUCAUAAACCAGCAAAUAUCUCAAACCAGCGGUGCGAUGCCGUGGGAAGCCUCACCGUUUACGGCGAGGAGGAGGUCACCUCUGACGUCUAA